UACGGAGGGUGCAAGCGUUAUCCGGAUUCACUGGGUUUAAAGGGAGCGUAGGUGGGCAGGUAAGUCAGUGGUGAAAUCUUUGGGCUUAACCCGAAAACUGCCAUUGAUACUAUUUGUCUUGAAUUAUCUGGAGGUAAGCGGAAUAUGUCAUGUAGCGGUAAAAUGCUUAGAUAUGACAUAGAACACCCAUUGCGAAGGCAGCUUACUACGGAUAUAUUGACACUGAGGCUCGAAAGCGUGGGGAUCAAACAGG
rnacentral:rRNA from 1 species